rnacentral:rRNA from 1 species
UACGUAGGGGGCAAGCGUUGUCCGGAUUAUUGGGCGUAAAGAGCGUGUAGGCGGCUUUACAGGUCCGUUGUGAAAACUCGAGGCUCAACCUCGAGACGCCGGUGGAAACCGUAAAGCUAGAGCCGGAAAAGGAGAGUGGAAUUCCUGGUGUAGCGGUGAAAGUGCGCAGAUAUCAGGAAGAACACCCGUGGCGGAAGGCGGCUCUCUGGGACGGUACUGACGCUGAGACGCGAAAGCGUGGGGAGCGAACAGGG